rnacentral:rRNA from 1 species
GACAGAGGGUGCAAACGUUGUUCGGAUUUACUGGGCGUAAAGCGCGUGUAGGCGGCUUGGCAAGUUGGAUGUGAAAGCCCACGGCUCAACCGUGGAAGAGCAUCCAAAAACUGCUUCGCUCGAGUCUCGGAGAGGAAGGUGGAAUGCUUGGUGUAGAGGUGAAAUUCGUAGAUAUCAAGCAGAACACCUGCGGCGAAGGCGGCCUUCUGGACGAUGACUGACGCUGAGACGCGAAAGCGUGGGGAGCAAACAGG